CUGCAAUGAAACAGAUCCUUGCCAUACCACAUGCUUAAUAAUAUCUCAUAUUAAUUAUUUUCUUUGGUAAAGUGAAUUGUAAAGUUAGUAACCCUACACAUGUUUUGAAUCUUCAGCAUUAAAGUCAGUCUAAUUUCUUCCAUUGUCUUUGUAGAAAUCAUAGAAAGCUAUGUCUCCACAUGGUUAUUACGGCCUAUUUUUUCACUUCCUGAGUUGAUGUCCAAUAUAACAUUCAUUGAUGUAUAAUGUCCUGUGAUUGAAGCUAAUAUAUGUCCCUGGCAUAGAGAAGGGGUCAGUGAACUGGUGGGAAGUAAGAAAUUGAGGGGUCACAUGGGAUAUCAUGUAAAUCACAGGGGAGGAGCAAUAUUACCAGCAGCUUCUCGAGAAACAGAAGCAUGCUAUAGAUUUAAUGUCACAUAAUUAAGGCGUGUUUUGGCUCAGAACCUUUAAUAUUUUUCAGUCAUUUUAGAUGACGCUGAUUUUAUGGGCUUUCCCGUAUGUGAGCAAUGUGACCAAAUGUGAUUAGACGACGCUGAUUUUAUGGGUGUUCCUUAUGAGUAAGAAUUUUAUUUGUUAAACAAUAUUUGAUUGGGUUUGUAGAAAAAUGUGACCAAAUUAUAACCACCUGGGUUUCACAGCUGGAGCUUGAGCAGAAAGCCAAAACUCUGCAUGAAGAUAUAAUAAAGCAUUGGAUCUCAAGGGAAUUAGCAUUGUUACGAAAUCACACUGAUCUAGCCAAUGAAAAAGGAUGGAGUAGAGAAUAUCCUUUUAUUUUUAAAAAGUUCUGUAUAUAAGGUACUUGAUAGUGCAUCUGUUAUUAUCUUCACAUUCUUGUCAUGGUAUUAUUUGUCAUUUCAUUGAGAUCCUCUGUUGGACAUAAAACUUUAGAGAUAUAUUGUAUUGAACUCAGAUUUGUGAAAUCAAAGUAUUGAGAUAUAUUAUAAAUUUUUCCUUGAACAAUUGUUUGUCUAUGGUGCUUCUCAAACCGGUUAUGAGGUCCAAAUCCAAAACCAUUUUAAAUAUCCUAAUAUAGCUAUAAACCAAUUCAUUUAUAACCGGUUGGAUAACCAUCCACAUUUUAUUUUUGGAUUUGGAUUUAAACCGGUUUUUAUUCAUCCAACUCCCAAAUUUCAAUCUCAAAACUCGAAAAGGGUUUUCCGGCAAUGCUUCCUUCCGGAAAACCGACCUUCCAUAUUUGAAGCACCGUCCUUCCUUCUUUGUCAAACGUUUAGCUCUCUCGUUCGUUUCUAUUCCUCCUUACCAAGUUUUUUCUCUUAGUUAUUCUUCUUUUAUGUUGUUUCAAAGACUAUUUUGAUUGUUAUUUUGAACAUUUUAGUUUAGUGUUGAUCGUUUUCUAGGUGUGUUGUUUCCUUAAAUUACCAUUCUUCUAUUAUAUUGAUUUUUUCUGCUGUCGGGAUGUGAUUUCUAUUAUUAUUGUUUUUCACCCUAUUCUUACAACUUCAAUCAACACUAAAUUUGUUCAAUUUAUAUUUUUUGGUUUAUGGGUAUUUUAUUUUACUAUAGAUGGAAAUGGUUGUUCCUUAGUUUUUUUCCGGUAUUAAAUUUUGUUCCUUAAUCAUUGAUCGAUGGAUCUAGGCUCUGAGUUUGAGUUGUUUUGCAGCUUCCAAUUCCUAGUAAAUUGGCUGGACUGUUUUUGAUGCAGUAACUGUGUUAGGUUAGACUUUGAAUCAUCAAAAGGCAUUUGAAGUGCUUGAAUUCAUGAUCCCAAGUAUUCUGAGGAACUACUUAAGAGGAAGGGGAAAGGUGUGCCUGUCGAUUUAGAUUGGGAGAAAGCACAAUCAAUUGUGCCGUUUUUAAAAAUGUUUUACGAUGCCAUCUUACGAAUAUCUGGGUCCUCCUAUGUUGCCUCUAAUAUGUAUAUGUUAGAGGUUUUUGGAAUAGGUGUAAAGAUACUUAAAAUGUCCAACUCCAAGAAUAUGUGUUUAAAAGUAGUGGCUGAUAAGAUGAAAACAAAGUACGACAAAUAUUGGGGGAAAAAAAUGAAAAUUUGAACAUGUUGUUGAUUUCUUCUGUCUUAGAUCCCAGGAACAAAUUAUAGUAUUGAUUGAUCACUUAGAACUUUAAUACCAAAUUAAAAGAUUUGUUGAAAACCCGUUUGGAAGAACUAAUUAUGGAGUAUAGUGGUGUUGGAGAAGAGUUCCAAAGUGAAUCACAAUCGACUGAAUUUGAUUUAAGUGGUAACGAAGAUCUUUAUAGUUAUAAUCGAUUUUUAUUGAGCACCGGUUCGUCCUCAAUUGAAAAGUCUGAUUUGGAAAGGUACUGGAAGAAUCUUUAGAGAAUCGGCCAUCUAUCAACUUUGAUGUUUUAAACUGGUGGAAGUUAAACUCAAGCCAUUUUUCAAAUCUUUCAAAGAUAGCCAAAGACUUGCUUUCCAUACCUAUCUCUACAAUGUCAUCUGAGUCUACUUUUAGUACUGGAGGAGUAGUGAUUGAUGAAUAUCAUAGUUGUCUCACACCUCAAAAGAUUGAAACUCUAGUUUGUAAGAAAUAACUUCUAUGAAAUUUGGUGGUGCUUGUUCGGUUCAUGUUUCUCUUGGUGAAGAUUGAGAAGUGACAAAACUGAGACUCUAAUGGAGUGCUUGUUGCGUAGACUAUACAUUGACUCUGAUGAAAACUGGCACCGAUCUAACACCUUGCUUUAGUAAUGGUUUUUUUUUUAUUUUUUUUUUUUAUUUUUUAUUUAUUUUUUUUUUUAACUGUUUUUGAUAUAGUUAGUAUAUGACUUUAGAAGUUAUCGACUCCAUUAGUUACUUGAAUCUCUUUAUACUAGCAACUGUUUUAAAUUC